CAGGACCAGCGGGCCUCGAUCCCGCAAUAACUAGUUAACAGCUAGCCGCCCAAACCAGCGGGCAUCAAUCCA
rnacentral:tRNA from 1 species